UCCAAUUUUGUGACACAACAAUUUUUUAUAUAAAUAAUGUAAGCAUUAGUUGAUGAUUGUUGUUAUAAAUAUGAUAAUUGUAAGUUGCUAAAUAAAUAUGACAGAACUGAUUUUUAAAUUGUAAGAACGGCUAAGAAUUAACUAAAUCAAAUACUUUGAAUAUCGGACUACUUUAUUUGUCAUUAGAAGCAAAAAAUCUAUUCAAAUAAACAAAACUUUGAAAAGGGGGUUGUUAACAAAUUACGUCACCCAAUUUUCUACCUUUUUAACUCUUAUUCUCUAGUCAAAUCAUUGUAACUUUUAUCACAAAACUGUUUUCACAAAACCACUAAUCCAAUCCCCCCCCCUUCCUCCUAUAUCCCUAAACCGUGACGUAAUUUACCUCCCGGUUCAUAUAACUCAAAGAUUAUUUACAUUUAAUGUUAAAAUUAUUAUAUAAAAUAAUGUAAAGGUUUAUUAUAUUUUAUGUAAAAAACUCAAAUAAAAAAAAUUAAAUUUUUUUUCCGCCUAUUCAAAGCAAUUUUAAUCCCCUAACAAGCUAAUAGCUCGUUAAGGAAUUAAAAAUUGCUUUGAAUAGGCGGAACCUUCUUAUCCGGUGGCUCACAGUGUUGCGAUAUUUAAAACAUGCGCUUUUAAAAAUCAAAUUCUACAUAUAAUCUUCUCUACCUGUUGUUUUGUCAAAGUAAUUUAUUUGUUGUUUUGUCUUUCAAAAUCGAAUAAAGAAUCUUUAUUUUUAUUUUUUAUUUUUUAUCGUUAACAAUUUUUUAUAAUCAAAUUAAAAAAUGGAUCGAGGCGUUUUAUACAAAGAACUAUACGAAGGAUUUGUAAAAGCUUAUGGCCAUUCUAAGUCAAAACAAAACUGCCAAAAAGAAAUAAAUAUCAUAUGGAUUGAAAUUAAAAAAUGAUGAAAAACUUCUUGAAAAAGUAAAAGAAUUAUUAAACACAUAUUCAACAAAAGCAAUGAAAGUAAAAGGAAAGUUGUUUAAUUACUGGUCGUCAACUGCAACAAAAUCCUCAAUUUCUCAUGACAAAGAAAACAAAUCAAAUCUUGUUGAAGUUGAUAAAUCAAAAGCUUUAUUCCACGUAGCCUCUGAUGAAAUUGACUUUGUAGCAGAACCAUCUCAAGUAACCAAAUCAAGUACUACAGAUUUAAUUGUGCAAUGUGUUAAGACGGAGAUAAAAGUUCAAGAUUUACUAAAACAAGAAAUUAAUUUGAUUAAUGGAGAUUUGAUUGGGUUGAUAAAGAGAAAAGAAUGCAGACAGUUAACAUCGGCACAAGAAAAUGAGCUUAUAGAAAAGAAGAAGAAAAAAGAACUAGAAAAGAACUUAAAGAAGAAAAAAGAUUCAAUGUUGAGUAGCCGGAAGUUCAGAAGUAAUAGGAGGGAAGCAUUAAAAAAGCUAUGCAAAUCAUCUCCAUCAGCAAAAAAGACUCUUCACCUUCAAAUGACAAGUGGGGGUCCACGAAUUGAAAAAGAACAACCGGAUUUACUAAAAACUAUUUGUGACAUUGCUCUUUACGGUUCAGCAGCUCAUGAAAAAAGAAGAGAUGCUGUUGUUAGAAGUACAAAAACGUUAAGUGAAUUAGGAAACUAAAUUUUAUUUUUCAGCUAGGUUUUCAAGUUAGUAGAAGCGGUUCUUAUCUUCGAUUGAAUCCAAGAAACAGCGCAACUCAAGAAGGGAAGAGGUAUAUAAAAACUGCCCCAGUUAAGUUAAUUAGAUCCCAAAAUGAUAAACAUGCCAAACAUAUUGAUAGGAAAUUCUGUACAGAAACAAUCAGGCCUCUUGAAGAGAUAUCAUCUCUCUUUGGUCCAAAAGAAGUUUUUUUUCUCAGUCAGGACGGCAAAGCCAGGGUAAUAUAAGUUUUUUUAUUUAUUUAACUUUUCAUAUCAAGAAAAAUUUAAUCUGCAUUAUUAUCACAUUGUUUUAGGUUCCAAUUGGAUUGACUGCUGCAAAUAAGCAAGCACCGUUGCUUAUGCAUAUGGAGUAUAGAGUUACUCUACGAGAUCAUGACUGGGUUAUUGCUAAUAAACACAAAUUGAUCCCAUCUGUGUACGCUGCUAUUGAAGUGCACUCAGAUGGUUUAGGGAAACCGAGUUUCGUAGGUUACUCCAGCCCUACAUAUAUAGCUGUUAGAUCUGGAAAACACUCGUCAUCGACUGCGUUAUCUCACGCUCUUGAUUUUAAUAAAUUAAUUGACUUAAAAGAAUUUCAGGAUUUUUCUAAAAAUGGUUCUUUUGUUAAACCAGUUGUUAUCUUGACUGUAGAUGGAGGUCCAGAUGAGAACCCUCGUUAUCAAAAGAUUGUCUAUUUUUGGCUGCAAAUGCACCAGGAAGGAGCGCUUUUAAUCGAGUCAAGAGAAGAAUGGCACCAUUAAGUCGUGAACUUUCAGGCGUGAUCCUACCUCAUGAUCAUUAUGGAAAUCAUCUUAACAAUGCUGGUUUUAUGAUAGAUAAUACUCUUGAAAAGAUAAAUUUCCAGUAUGCUGGUGAAACUCUUGCGGAAAUCUGGUCUAAUGUUUCAAUUGACAAGUUUCCUUUAGUUGCUGAAUUUAUUGUUCCAGAAAAAUCAGAAAUCUUAUCUAGUACUUUAAAAACCAAGGACAGCUUCUGGUAUGCUCGUCAUGUGCAAACAAGCCAGUAUUUUCUCCAAAUAGUUAAGUGUGAAAAUCGGAAUUGCUGUAAACAACCAAGAGGAACAUGUUUUACAGCCAUGCCUGAUCGUUUUUUUCCACCAUUGAUACCGCUAUCACAACUCCCAGAGGGACGGCUCCAAGUUACGAACGCAUUAUGCCAUAAGAACCACAAGUUUCCGUCCCUUUUUGUUGGAAAAACCUUAAAGAUGAUAUUAUGUCUCACCUGACAACGGUUUAUAGAGUUUUACCUUAUGAUCUUUUUGUCCAUCUGUGCAAUCUCUUCUUAAGAGUCGAUGUUGCAAAAAAUGUUCAAUGUAUUUUGCAUCCAAUGUGUUGUUGAAAAAACACGUUACUGUCCAUGUAAAUUCAAAAUCACCAAUCGAUGCUGCUUCUGACAUAAUCAGGCAAGUGCCUACUUGUUUUGCUGCUCGUCGUCAAACUGAGCUUAUGGCAAUAACUUUGUUUGAGGAAAACGGAGAGCAUAUCGAUUGGAUUGAAGAAAAUGAAUUAGAUCUAUCUAAUGUUCAAAUCAUACCAAAAUAAGAUGUAGAAAAAAAUCUUUCCUUGUCACUUUACACAAUGGAUGAACACUUCUGCUCAUCUUGGACAAAUGCUAAAUAAUAUAUUAUAUGUAUGGUAAUUUUAAAGAUGAAUUUGAUAAAUUUCGUUUGUAAAAA
rnacentral:misc_RNA from 1 species